GCUGAAUUAUUCCGUGAAUACUAGGACAAGGAGAUGCGUGUAACGUAUGUUCUAGAUACAAAGUAAAGUAACGCUAACGAGAAGUAUCCAGAUAUUAUUGAGAGGGCGAGAGAGAGGGAGAGAGAUAUAUCAGUUGACAUUAGUGCGUGAGGAUUAAACGGCGUUAUCCAAAACGCUUUCGGUUGAAUUUUAUGGGACUGAAGGGGGGAAAUCUUUGAAAACGUUUCUGUACCAGGGAAAACGAUUCGUCCGAUUCACAGUGUGCGGAGUUAUUCUUUAAUUUUGACGACAAAAGUAGGAAAACGAUGGCAUUGCGGCAGAGAUAUCAGCAGAUAAUAGUUCCUAAACGAUGUUUCUAACUUAAGGAAAACGAUACGAUGCAAUAUUUAUUUAAUUACAAAGAGAAAUGUGUACAUGUCGAUAAUUUGGACAUCUUGGAAAGCAGGAGGGAAUUUCAUUCGUACAUUUAUCAUUAAAAUAAUAAUGAAGGUUUGGCAUACAUAUGAAUGGUUCGAAACGAAUUCGCUCCUGCAUGCUGGAGCAUGGUAUCACAACAUAUAUCACCAUUUAUUAUAAUUUUUUUUAUUCAAUAUCGUUCUACAUGUGUUGGUUGGGUAGUUUCUGCUCAGAUGUUUUUUAUACUGCAGGAAUACGUGAACCAUUCGUACUCUCUUCGGAUGCACAACUCUGAAACUGCUAGAAGUGGUAAUUUUCUGUUACUGGAAUAUAUCGCGCGCUCGUGUUUCCAAAGGUGCAUCAUGGUACGUUUAAGUAGAGAAAGGUGGGGCAAACGGGGGUGGAAAAUACUAUGUUUCAGCUGAGAACUGGGCUAAAGAACUCGUGUAAAUCAACGUGCAGUAAUAAGCUGUUCACAGUUAGAAUCUUAAAACUGGAUCCUGAUACGUAAUCCCACCGAGUCCGCUUCGCGAUGAAGACACUUUCUGAAUAUUAAGAGAAUAGUAUUUUCAAUGAGAAAUAUGUAUGUAAGCGUAAUGAGAGAGAGAAAAGGUAAUCAUUUAACAUGCUGAACAAUUCAUGUUAUGUAAAUAUUAGACGUAUUUGUGGGAGAACUUUCUUUGGGGAUGGGCUAUGCAAAUUUUAUGUAAGCUGCAGGACUGAAGCUGUGCAUACCUGUAUAUCGCAGUGGAUGAGAUUAUUCAAACGGAAUUACUUCUUGACGCUGGACCGUGUGUGCUAUUCGUUCUUCUAUAUAUAGUAGCAGCAAGAUAUACUUCUACGGUUUCAGUACUAAAAAUGAAUGCAAGCAUAUCGUGUUUAUUGACAAGCAUGGUAAUUUGUGCAAGGCCCUUCACAGUUUCGUUUCUCAUGAUUAUAUAGAAGUAUUCAAGAUGAUUCGGAUAUACUCGUCCAAGGAAGAAGCGAGAGAGAGAAGAAACGUGUGUGUGCAUCACAAAAUCGAUUCCCUUUAAAUUAUAUCGUAAUAGUAUCUUAUCUUCAUAAGGUAUUUUAGAUAUCAACCAGGUGAUGCAUUUUGAUAUAUUUUCUUUAGUACAUAUGCAUAAUUUACUUGCUAGACAUUUCUGUGUAUAUAUAUCACAUCGUGUGAAGAAAUUUUGUUGGUAGGUUAGGGCGGGAGGGGGGGAUAUAACAAUUUACUUUUUUUUCACAGACCAUAUUAGGAGAUGGACGUCUGUUCCGAAGUUUUAUUGUGAGAUCAACUGAAGCAUGACAGAGUAUUCCUAUAUAGCGUUAAACUCGUGAAUAUGUAUAGAUGUUGUAUGUGUUGUUUGUCAUUUGGUCAGCAAGUUAGGAUAGUGUUCGUAUGUUUAAACAACAAAUUUGGGGAAUGCUUAUUGGAGAGUGGAUUUUCCUGGUUUUCCCUUCAGACGGUACAAAGGAAACGCCACGUUUUAAUUCGAAUUUCAUAAAACAGUCCUCUCUGAUGGGGUACAGUUCAGAGAACGUGUAUGUAUGUAUUGCCCACAUGAAUAUUAUUUUAAUUACGCUGUUAGGAAGAAGAUGUUGCAUUCGAUUAGCACAAAGAACUAAUAAUAUCUACUACACUCCUCUGGAUGAAUUUCCAUCAUGCUUGAAAUACGAAUAUAUGGCAAGUCGUUACAAAAUAAUAGCUUGUGCUUUAUAAAUGCAAAGUAAUGCAUAGACGAAUAAUUAUGCACAUGAACAUCCUCCCGGCUUCUAUCAGGUAAUGGCCCCUAACUAUAAUUUUAAUUGGACUUUUUCAUCAUGUAAAAGAGAAUUGACAUAACCAUUGCAGAUUCAGUACUCCUUGUAGAAUUCUUUGCACAAUAACGUUCAUAAAUGUUGUGACUAAAAUUGUUCCUUAAACACAUGAUUAUCAUGAUUCGAAAAAGACAGUCUCUUAUUGCAUAGAAAGAUUCGAAAAUGUAUGACUACCGGAAAUUGUUCUAUUAUGGACCGAACAUGCGUUAAAUUGUUUUGAGAACGAAAUGCAUAUCAGUCGUGGAAAUAGUAUUUACCAAGUGCACAGAACAAUCAUAAAAUAGUAGUGCAGUGAAUCCUUGCUACCCGCUAAUGCGCUUGUACAUUGAACUGUUGUUGUUGUGCUAAAAUUUAUAAGAACACAAUUAUGGAGAAUGCAGCAGCUCAAGCUUUUACGAUAACAAAGCAUACACUGAGUGUGUGAAUGAUGCUUGGUAAAAUAGCCUCUACAUAACGUUGGAUAAUCUAAAAGUAUGUUAGCAAAAUGGUUUUUAAUCACUAUGAGACUUCGGUGAGUGAAGUAAGUGUUCAACGUGUACUUGAAACAGCGAGGAGUUCUUUUAUAGCCAAUGUUUAGAAUAACAUAAAAUGGCAUUAGCUUCUUUUAUGAUUUGUUGUUGUAAUGCUCAAGUGUUACGUUUUAUGCUUUGAUGAUGGCUUUCCUUGAUUCAGUUAGAAUGUGCUCUAAACUUUACUUCCACAGUUAAUAAUUACUAUUGACGUGUGUAUGAUUCUAAAUGGGCACAUGAUUAGGCGAAGAGACAAAAGGACAGUGCAUUAGCCCAAUGGAAAUUGAUUAAGGAAUAAUAUCUUAAUGAUAUAAACAUUGUUCGUAAUUGUUAGCAAUUACAUGGAUAACAAUUGGAUACUACUUCAAUGAAAUGAUUAGGAUGAGUUAAAUCUUAAAGAAGCUGUAUGAAAUUCAAACACAAUUCGUUUAAAGGACACAAAUUCAAGAAAUUGGUUAGUUUGUUCCAAAGCAAUUUUGAAUUCAUUUGGAACUCUAUCAUGGGUAUUUGUAGGCGUGAAUUUUUUUACUUCCGUCUAUCCGUUUCGAAACAGCUAACCAAGUGUUUUAGAACCCGUUUUCCGAGUAUCGAGAUCGGGCCGAUGAAGAGGGCGAGAGAUUUGCUGUAGCAGGAUCGAGUAAUACACUUCUGAAGUCUAAAAUAAGCGGGUUCUUCCACCCUUCAGCGAUCUGCGUAUGGAGUUAGUCUAUUGGCUUGUCGCUCUGUGAUUCUAUCGAUAGUUGGAUAUAUAUACCAUCAUCUUGGAAAAGUUUGGAAUGGGAUUGUAAUGAAUAUGCACUCGACUUUCUGCUAUGGUCUGAGAUGGCAAGGAUGAGUGACGCGGCGGCGGCGGCGGUACAUUGUUCCGUACAAUAUCAGUACAAAAGGAGAGGAGAGGAGAGAACGGACUCUUGGGAGGCUGAAUAAUUCAUUCGUGUUCGUUGCUGGAUUGCGAAUUGCUGUUGCAUAUAAACCCGAAAGCCGGUUCGAGACGCCAUGCGUUUUCUUUUCGAGUUUUCAACAGGCUCUGAUGGAUGCUUUUCUGCGGUUUGAUGGGACGCGAGAAGUCGUCGAUGCAGAGUUCCAGCAGAAACGUCUAUUUCUUUUUUAUAUAAAAAUUUAAUUGGUAAAUGCUGCGAUUACAUGUUGGGGUUAAUGAUUACUUUCUGGCAUGAAAAUUUUACGAUGCUUCUAGUUUUUCUUAAAUUUUCUCGUAAUAGCAAAAAUUAGAUCGACACAAAUUUAAGAAUUUA